UACGUAGGGUCCGAGCGUUGUCCGGAAUUAUUGGGCGUAAAGGGCUCGUAGGCGGUUUGUCGCGUCGGGAGUGAAAACACGGGGCUUAACCCCGUGCCUGCUUCCGAUACGGGCAGACUAGAGGUAUGCAGGGGAGAACGGAAUUCCUGGUGUAGCGGUGAAAUGCGCAGAGAUCGGGAGGAACACCCGUAGCGAAGGCGGCGCUCUGGGCCGGUACUGACGCUGAGGAGCGAAAGCGUGGGGAGCAAACAGG
rnacentral:rRNA from 1 species